rnacentral:pre_miRNA from 1 species
UGAUGACGAUGAUGCAGAUGAUAAUGGCUAUUGAGGGAUUCCAAGUCAUGAAGUUGUUGUUGUUGUUUGUAUUCCAAAUAACCAUUAUCAUCUUCAUCCUCA